rnacentral:rRNA from 1 species
UUACAGAGAGAAGCGAUACCGCGAGGAGGAGCAAAUCUGAAAAAAGCGUCCCUAGUUCGGAUUGUAGGCUGAAACUCGCCUACAUGAAGCUGGAAUUGCUAGUAAUCGCGAAUCAGAAUGUCGCGGUGAAUACGUUCCCGGGCCUUGUACACACCGCCCGUCACACCAUGAGAGUCGAUAACACCCGAAGUCCGUAGCCUAACCGCAAGGGGGGCGCGGCCGAAGGUGGGUUCGAUAAUUGGGGUGAAGUCGUAACAAGGUAGC